ACGAACGCUGGCGGCGUGCUUAACACCUGCAAGUCGCACGGAAAGGCCCUGCUUUUGUGGGGUGCUCGAGUGGCGAACGGGUGAGUAACACGUGAGUAACCUGCCCUUGACUUUGGGAUAACUUCAGGAAACUGGGGCUAAUACCGGAUAGGAGCUCCUGCUGCAUGGUGGGGGUUGGAAAGUUUCGGCGGUUGGGGAUGGACUCGCGGCUUAUCAGCUUGUUGGUGGGGUAGUGGCUUACCAAGGCUUUGACGGGUAGCCGGCCUGAGAGGGUGACCGGCCACAUUGGGAUUGAGAUACGGCCCAGACUCCUACGGGAGGCAGCAGUGGGGAAUAUUGCACAAUGGGCGGAAGCCUGAUGCAGCAACGCCGCGUGCGGGAUGACGGCCUUCGGGUUGUAAACCGCUUUCGCCUGUGACGAAGCGUGAGUGACGGUAAUGGGUAAAGAAGCACCGGCUAACUACGUG
rnacentral:rRNA from 1 species